AGAGUUUGAUCCUGGCUCAGGAUAAACGCUGGCGGCGUGCUUCAGGCAUGCAAGUCGAACGGACCUUCGGGUCAGUGGCGGACGGGUGAGUAACACGUAAGUAACCUGCCCAGAAGUGGGGAAUAACUAGCCGAAAGGUUGGCUAAUACCGCAUGUGAUAGUUCUUCCCUGGAGGAACUAUGAAAGAUUUAUUGCUUCUGGAGGGGCUUGCGGUCGAUUAGCUAGUUGGUGGGGUAAUGGCCUACCAAGGCGACGAUCGAUAGCUGGUCUGAGAGGACGGUCAGCCACACGGGGACUGAGAUACGGCCCCGACUCCUACGGGAGGCAGCAGCUAGGAAUCUUGGGAAUGGGCGAAAGCCUGACCCAGCAACGCCGCGUGGGCGAUGAAGGCCUUCGGGUCGUAAAGCCCUUUUGCAGGGGACGAUAAUGACGGUACCCUGCGAAUAAGCCACGGCUAACUACGUGCCAGCAGCCGCGGUAAUACGUAGGUGGCAAGCGUUGUCCGGAUUUACUGGGCGUAAAGGGCGUGCAGGCGGUUUGUUAAGUCUAGGGUGAAAGCUCCCGGCUCAACUGGGAGAGGUCCUUGGAUACUGGCAAACUUGAGGGAGGUAGAGGAGAGUGGAAUUCCCGGUGUAGUGGUGAUAUGCGUAGAUAUCGGGAGGAACACCAGUGGCGAAGGCGGCUCUCUGGGCCUUUCCUGACGCUGAGACGCGAAAGCGUGGGGAGCGAACCGGAUUAGAUACCCGGGUAGUCCACGCCGUAAACUAUGGACACUAGGUGUGGGGGGUAUCGACCCCUUCCGUGCCGAAGCCAACGCAAUAAGUGUCCCGCCUGGGGAGUACGGCCGCAAGGCUAAACUCAAGGAAUUGACGGGGGCCCGCACAAGCAGCGGAGCGUGCGGUUUAAUUCGUCGCAACGCGAAGAACCUUACCAAGGCUUGACAUGCUAGUGGUACUGAUUCG
rnacentral:rRNA from 1 species